ensembl:lncRNA LSP1P5 LSP1 pseudogene 5
ACAGCGCGGGCGCAGGCGCCGAGAGGCGCACGGGAGACCUCAGGCCCAGACUCCACUCCCCAGCUGUGAAAGGACUGCUGGCCAGACCCCCAAGCUAGCCCGCCAGGCCUCCAUAGAGCUGCCCAGCAUGGCUGCGUCCAGUACCAAGAGUUGGUGGGAGACGGGUGAAGUACAGGCUCAGUCUGCGGCCAAGACUCCAUCCUGCAAGGAUAUUGUGGCUGGAGACAUGAGCAAGAAAAGCCUCUGGGAGCAGAAGGGAGGCUCCAAGACCUCAUCAACAAUUAAGAGCCAGCUCAAUCACUUCUCCAGAAAGACUUACUGAGUCCUCUGCACUGAACAGGUGUCCUAUGCUCCAGGAGAGCCCUGGGCUGGCUCCUAGUGCAGCCGUUAUGACCCUGGAAUGCACCAUCUUUCACAUCACUGCCUGGCCUUCUAGAAUCUCAGCUUCUUAAAUCAAGAAAUUGUGUCUUGUUCAUGUCUGAAUUCCCCAAGUGAACACAGUGAGUGGGUGCUUGACAAAUCUUUGUUGGUAAUGAGCAAAAAAGGGGAUUCUGUGCCCAAUACCAUGAAAUCAAUGCACAGAAGAUUCAAUCAAUCAAGAAAGGUGCACAGACACUGGCCACACACACUGACAUUUGUUU